rnacentral:ncRNA from 1 species
GAACGCCGUAUGAGAGGAAACUUUCACGUACGGUGUGGAGGAGGGGAAAAUGAGUACACUUAACGGAUAAUGCCGAAGUAGAAAGUUACCUAUUCCUAU